UCAGGAUGAACGCUAGCUACAGGCUUAACACAUGCAAGUCGAGGGGCAGCAUGAAAGUUUGCUUGCAAACUUUUGAUGGCGACCGGCGCACGGGUGAGUAACACGUAUCCAACCUGCCUCAUACUCGGGGAUAGCCUUUCGAAAGAAAGAUUAAUACCCGAUGUCAUAGUCCUACCGCAUGAUGGGAUUAUUAAAGAAUUUCGGUAUGGGAUGGGGAUGCGUUCCAUUAGUUAGUUGGCGGGGUAACGGCCCACCAAGACAACGAUGGAUAGGGGUUCUGAGAGGAAGGUCCCCCACAUUGGAACUGAGACACGGUCCAAACUCCUACGGGAGGCAGCAGUGAGGAAUAUUGGUCAAUGGACGAGAGUCUGAACCAGCCAAGUAGCGUGAAGGGUGACUGCCCUAUGGGUUGUAAACUUCUUUUAUAUGGGAAUAAAAUGUUCCACGUGUGGGAUUUUGUAUGUACCAUAUGAAUAAGGAUCGGCUAACUCCGUGCCAGCAGCCGCGGUAAUACGGAGGAUCCGAGCGUUAUCCGGAUUUAUUGGGUUUAAAGGGAGCGUAGGUGGAUUGUUAAGUCAGUUGUGAAAGUUUGCGGCUCAACCGUAAAAUUGCAGUUGAAACUGGCAGUCUUGAGUACAGUAGAGGUGGGCGGAAUUCGUGGUGUAGCGGUGAAAUGCUUAGAUAUCACGAAGAACUCCGAUUGCGAAGGCAGCUCACUGGACUGCAACUGACACUGAGGCUCGAAAGUGUGGGUAUCAAACAGGAUUAGAUACCCUGGUAGUCCACACAGUAAACG
rnacentral:rRNA from 1 species